GUUUUUAUAAUUUAAUUAAAAAUAUUGGUCUUGUAAACCAAAAAUAAGAUCCCUUUAAAAACA
rnacentral:tRNA from 1 species